rnacentral:lncRNA from 1 species
UUGCCUCUUAGCCUCUCCUCAAUUCUAAAUUCUUACAUUCAAUAAUUACUGCUUUCCUAAUCCAUUUUAGCGAUAAGACAUCCAUACUUUUGAUCUAAUAAUAUCCUAAAUUACUCACUAAUCAUAUAUGUACAAUCAUUAUAAUAGUAGGACAAUAAUUUAACAUGUGGAUAAGGCCACUUUUCAAUUACCUGAAGAGUCACUAUUUCUGGACCAUAGAUCUGUUAUAUUAAAUUCCACUUGGUCUCAUCCAGAGCAAUGUGGUUCUCCUUUGCUCAUCUGUCACAACAGUUGCAUUCCAGAGUUGAGACCACAUUAAUAGAAUAAUAUUAGAGUGAUUAGUAAAUAAACAAGUGUGAUUUGGAUUGGAAUUCCAGGAGCAAAUUGUUCAAUUAUUUGUUCUAUUAUAUAUUAAAAACAAAUCUACUGUAGGCCUACUUGUUUCAUGUGUGGACACUCUACCCUGCCUUGCCCCAAUUUUGAUUUUUGAUAGUCACUGAUUGAUUAAAUGGUUUGAUAUAAAUAUGUAACAUGAUCUUAUCUAUACCAGGGAUUAGUUCUGAGUUCUUCAGGAUCUGACCAGAAAAGAAAACAAGUUUAAGGAAAAACAAAGGGGACUAAAGGAAAAUAAAGGGUUUCACAUUAUGCUAUAUGUGAAAAAUCUACACUUAAAAAAUUAGAAGUCCGGCAGUAAUUUUUGGGCUGUUUCCUAUUCGACCCGUGUUGGACAUCCAGCCUUGCCCCAUUUUUAAUAUUCGAUAGUCACUGAUUUAAGAUAUGAUACAAAAAUGUACAUGAUCUUAUCUAUAUGAGAGCUUAGUUCUAAGUUUAUCAGGAUCUGACCAGAAAAAGAAGUUUGAGGGAAAAUAAAGGGCUGGAUAUUACACUAUAUGCCAAGAUAGUACAUAUAAAAUAUAUAACAGAAUAAGAACAGCCACUACCCAUACAAAGUUUGGUUUAGACAUUGUUGCCUAGAAUCUCUACACUCUUUGGUAUGAAUACAAUAGAAUCUGGAAGAAACUUUUACUUAACAAUCUCCUCCCCUCUUCUUUUUCUUCGGGGUGGGUGGUAGAGGUGUUUUUUGUGUUUUUGUUAUUUUUCACAACUAAUAAAAUGUUGAUUUUGUCACUCUCAUCGACCCCAUGAUGCCAACUAGGCAUAUAAUAAUAAUACACACACAUGCCACAUGUAAAACAAUACAUACAUAUAUAUGUUUUUUAUUUUCACUAGAACAGGACACUCAAUCAUAGACAUAUACAUUAGUAGUAUUAUAUUAAAGCUUACCAGUAGUUGGACAGAGCUAUAGGUGAGAGCAGUUCUGACUACUUGUAACAUUUGUACAUUCUGAAAAUUUUGGGAGUGCCAGCAUCCUAUAUUCCCAAUGGUGGAAG